ACUGGUUGAUGCUGCCAGUGCAGGGCUCUAUCUGUUUUGAGUUAGUCAUGUUAGUGGACGUACCUCGUGUACGUUGCGAAAAGCUCAGGAAUAGUCGUUAACCUGCCCUACAGACCGGGAUAAUCACGAGAAAUUGUGGCUAAUACCUGAUAGGCACGGGUGCCUGGAAUGGUCCAGUGUUUAAAGGCUUCGGCCGCUGUAGGAUGGGACUGCUUCUAAUUAGCUAGUAAGUGAGGUAACGGCUCACUUAGGCUAUGAUUAGUACCGGCACUGAAAGGUGUGGCCGGGAGACGGGCACUGAGACAAGGGCCCGGCCCCUACGGGGUCCAGCAGACGGGAAUUCUACACAAUACACGCCAGUGUGAUGUGGCAAAACAGAGUGAUCACUUCACAGUGAUCUGUUGUCGAGUGUAAAUAGCUCGAUGAGGAAGUGGAGGGCAAGGAUGGUGCCAGCAGCCGCGGUAAAACCAUCUCCACAAGGGCACUGCAGAUACUAGGCUUAAAGCGUGCGCAGCUGGAAGCAGCAGUCUUCGGUUAAAUCCGGUCGCUCAACGAUCGGUUUGCUGGAGAAACCAUGUUUCUUGGGACAGGAAGAGGAUGACGGUACUGGCCGGGGAGCGGUGAAAUGUUUAGAGCCGGUCAGGACCAUCUGUGGCGAAGGCGGUCAUCUGGGACUGGUCCGACAGUCAUGCACGAAAGCCAGGGGAGCGAAAAGGAUUAGAUACCCUUGUAGUCCUGGCCGUAAACGAUGCCGACUAAGUGUUGCCUGAAUUUAUCAGGCGGUGCUGUAGGGAAACCAUUAGGUCGGCCGCCUGGGGAUUACGGUCGCAAGGCUGAAACUUAAAGCAAUUGGCGGGGCUCUACCGGAAUGCGUGAUGCUUGCGGCUUAAUUGGAUUCAACGCCGGAAACCUUACCUCAGUCGUUCCUUCCUAUGAUCGUCAACCUGAUGAGUUUACGUGAAGAUUGAACUGGUGGUGCAUGGCCCGUUUAAGUUCGUGUUGUGAAUUGUUCGCUUAAUUGCGAUAACGAGCGCGACCCGCAUCACUAAUUGCCAGCGAUGCAGCAAUGCAGAUCGGGCACAAUAGUGAGAUCGCCAUCGUUGAGAUGGAUGAAAGUGCGGUCCAGACGAGGUCUGUAUGCCCUGUAUAUUGAGGGCCGCACGCGAGCAGCAAUGGGCAGGACAAUGCGAUGCUACGUCGAGAGAUGACGCUAACCGCUAAACCUGUUCUCAGUAAGGAUCGCGGACUGUAAGCGUCCGCGUGAAUAUGGAAUGCAUAGUAAGGUCGUUUCAUUACGACGACCUGAAUACCCCUAUGGAGCUUGUACACACCGCCCGUCGCUUGAUCCGAGUUGGGCGUGGUUGAGGUCAGGGUCUAACGGCCCUGCACGAUACUCCGUUCAGUGAGGCGCAAGAAGUCGUAACAAGGUG
rnacentral:rRNA from 1 species